UACGUAGGUGGCAAGCGUUGUCCGGAUUUACUGGGCGUAAAGAGCGCGCAGGCGGUCGUUCAAGUCGCGUGUGAAAGCCCCCGGCUCAACUGGGGAGGGUCACGCGAUACUGAUCGACUCGAAGGCAGGAGAGGGUAGUGGAAUUCCCGGUGUAGUGGUGAAAUGCGUAGAUAUCGGGAGAACACCAGUGGCGAAGGCGACUACCUGGCC
rnacentral:rRNA from 1 species